rnacentral:rRNA from 14 species
CCGGUGCUUGAAGCUUAACCUGUAUGCUUUUUUGGUAUAUUGAGAAGGCCUAGUAAACGGCGGUUGUAACAAUAACAAUCAUAAAGUAGCGAAAUUCAUUGUCAGCUAAUUCCUGACCUGCAUGAAAGGCGUAACGAUUGCCCCACUGUCUCCAGUAUGGACUCAGUGAAAUUGAAUUCUCCGUGCAGAUGCGGAGAACGUGCCCCAAGACGAGAAGACCCUAUGCAUCUUUACUGUACAUUUACACUGGAAAAAAGCUUAAAUUGUGUAGGAUAGGUGGGAGUUGACAACAACCUUGAAAUACCACCCUUUUUAAGAAGAGUUCCUUAUUUGAACAAGGUUCAAAAACACUGUAUAUGAGGCAGUUUGACUGGGGCGGUCGCCUCCCAAAGAGUAACGGAGGUGUGCGAAGGUAAACUCAAUGAAAGACGGAAACUUUCUGUAGAGCGUAAUGGUAAAAGUUUGCCUGACUGCGAGAGUGACACCUCGAGCAGAGACGAAAGUCGGCCAUAGUGAUCCAAAAGUGCUGCGUGGAAAGACUUUUGCUUAACGAAUCAAAGAUACGCUAGGGAUAACAGGCUAAUAAUUCCCAAGAGCCCUUAUCGACGGAAUUGUUUGGCACCUCGAUGUUGACUGAUCAUAUCCUGGGGCUGAAAAAGGUCCCAAGGGUUCGGCUGUUCGCCGAUAAAAAUGGUACCUGAGUUGAGUUUAGAACGUCGUGAGACAGUUUGGAUUCUACCUGGGGUGCGCGCGAAGAAUUGAGAAAACCAUUUCCUUGUACGAGAGGACCGGAAAUGUUCAACCUCUGGUGCACUGGUUGUUCUGCCAAGAGCAUUGCCGGGUAGCUACGUUGAGAGAGGAGAACCGUUGAAAGCAUCUUAAAUGGGAAACUUUUUUCAAGACAAAUUCUUAGACCCACGUGAAAGUCUCUCACGUCAAUAGGCGAAGCGUGAACCUUUUGAAA